AACGAACGCUGGCGGCGCGCCUAAUACAUGCAAGUCGAGCGAGAAGACGUAGCAAUACGUUUGUAAAGCGGCGAACGGGUGAGGAAUACAUGGGUAACCUACCCUCGAGUGGGGAAUAACUAGCCGAAAGGUUAGCUAAUACCGCAUACGAUUCCCGGACUGCGGUUCGGGAAGGAAAGCGAUACCGUGGGUAUCGCGCUCUUGGAUGGGCUCAUGUCCUAUCAGCUUGUUGGUGAGGUAAUGGCUCACCAAGGCUUCGACGGGUAGCUGGUCUGAGAGGACGAUCAGCCACACUGGCACUGCGACACGGGCCAGACUCCUACGGGAGGCAGCAGUAAGGAAUAUUGCGCAAUGGACGAAAGUCUGACGCAGCGACGCCGCGUGGGGGAUGAAGGUCUUCGGAUUGUAAACCCCUUUCGGCAGGGAAGAUGGAACGGGUAACCGUUCGGACGGUACCUGCAGAAGCAGCCACGGCUAACUUCGUGCCAGCCGCCGCGGUAACAC
rnacentral:rRNA from 1 species